rnacentral:rRNA from 1 species
UACAGAGGGUGCGAGCGUUGUCCGGAAUCACUGGGCGUAAAGGGCGCGUAGGUGGCGACCCAAGUCGCGUGUGAAAGCCCCCGGCUCAACUGGGGAGGGUCACGCGAUACUGAUCGACUCGAAGGCAGGAGAGGGUAGUGGAAUUCCCGGUGUAGUGGUGAAAUGCGUAGAUAUCGGGAGGAACACCAGUGGCGAAGGCGACUACCUGGCCUGUUCUUGACGCUGAGGCGCGAAAGCUAGGGGAGCGAACGGG